GAACGGGUGAGGAUCACGUGAGAAACGUGCCCCAGACUCUGGGAUAACAAUUGGAAACGAUUGCUAAUACCGGAUGACGUCGGAGAAUCGCAUGAUUCACUGACGAAAGAUAUUUCGGUUUGGGAGCGUCUCGCGGCCUAUCAGCUUGUUGGUGGGGUAAUGGCCUACCAAGGCAACGACGGGUAGCUGGUCUGAGAGGAUGAUCAGCCACACUGGGACUGAGACACGGCCCAGACUCCUACGGGAGGCAGCAGUGGGGAAUCUUGCGCAAUGGGCGAAAGCCUGACGCAGCAACGCCGCGUGCGGGAUGAAGGCCUUCGGGCUGUAAACCGCUUUCAGCAGGAACGAAAAUGACGGUACCUGCAGAAGAAGGAGCGGCCAACUACGUGCCAGCAGCCGCGGUGACACGUAGGCUCCAAGCGUUGUCCGGAUUUAUUGGGCGUAAAGAGCUCGUAGGCGGUUGAGUAAGUCGGGUGUGAAAACUCUGGGCUUAACCCGGAGACGCCAUCCGAUACUGCUCUGACUAGAGUUCAGGAGGGGAGUGGGGAAUUCCUAGUGUAGCGGUGAAAUGCGCAGAUAUUAGGAGGAACACCGGUGGCGAAGGCGCCACUCUGGACUGAAACUGACGCUGAGGAGCGAAAGCAUGGGUAGCAAACAGGAUUAGAUACCCUGGUAGUCCAUGCCGUAAACGGUGGGCACUAGGUGUGGGUUCCAACUAACG
rnacentral:rRNA from 1 species